rnacentral:rRNA from 1 species
GCGUGGGAACGUGCCCUUGGGUAAGGAACAACAGUUGGAAACGACUGCUAAUACCUUAUGACCCUCCUCUUUAGCGAUAUUGGGGAGGCAAAGAUUUAUCGCCCAGGGAUCGGCCCGCGUUGGAUUAGGUAGUUGGUGGGGUAAUGGCCUACCAAGCCUACGAUCCAUAGCUGGUUUGAGAGGAUGAUCAGCCACACUGGGACUGAGACACGGCCCAGACUCCUACGGGAGGCAGCAGUGGGGAAUCUUGGACAAUGGGGGCAACCCUGAUCCAGCCAUGCCGCGUGAACGAUGAAGGCC